GUAAGGCUGGCAAGAAAAGGGAAACUGUCACCUCCUGGCCUAUAGCUACCACUCUCAGUAGGAACUAAGUUCUCCUUUGCUUGGCUUAGAAAUGUUCUAACAUGAAGCUGCCAGGUGACUCACAUUCAAAUAAAUGCUCCAGGCACAUCUGGGUCUGUCACAGCCACAGAGUUGAGGGGCAGUUCUGUCUCACCUGCUCUCUGGAGACCUCUCCUGGUGCUGUGUCUGAGGCCUGGCAGAUGACUUCAGUCAGUCUGCCUGAGCCCCCUAUCUGGCUCUCCAGGCAGCCAGCUUCCUCCAUGCACUGUGCUUCAGUUGGCCUCUUAACCAGCACCCCUCCCCAUCUUACAGCCCUGUGGGGACAGAGAAAAUUGAAGGCUCUCGCCUUGCAUUACAGCCUCCAAGUAGAGGUGUGGUUUCCUGUCCCACUUGGACACACAGGAAGCGUUUGGAAGCAACAUUGUGUACUGGAAUGAGCACAGGCUCCUGAAUCAGCCCCGAGGUUGAAUCCUAGCUCCCCUACUACAUAGUUGGAUGCCUUCUCUGAGUUUCUGCUUCCUGGUUGGUGAGGUUCCUUCAGCCCGUGAGACCCAUCCAGGUCCUGGAACAUAGACAAUGCUCAGCAAAUGCUUCUGUCAGUGACUAAGUCCGAAGUCAAAGAUUCCCCGUUGCCAUCUCUGAGCAGAGAUUGGAUGAGUCCCUCCCUAAUAUGCACCAGAAUCUAGGUUACGCCUAGAUUUCUCUCUAUGUGUCUGGCUAAGUUCCUCAAGCUUGGGGCUAUUGUUACUGGGCUGGUGGACAUUGUAUGACCCCUGCUUGCCCAACUGCCAGGAUUCAGGCUCCAUUCACUAAUGUCCAAUGACCCAAGGUGGGUGCUGUGGAUCACAGAGCUGAAGGCACUGGAGACAGUAUCCAGGCCACCUGACUCAGGAGGGGAGCCCAAAAGAGCUGGGAGAGGCUGGUCUCUCCUGAAGGUCUGAAGUGCCCUGUCUUGAAUGGUCUGGUCACUGAUAUAUGUGGGCCAUGGGGACAGGUGGCUGCCAGUGGAAAACGAACCG